GCCGGGAUUGCCAGGACCCGUCAUGGCGGCCCGACAGCGUCACCCCGCCUGUGAACGGCCGGGAUUGCCAGGACCCGUCAUGGCGGCCGGACAGCGUCACCCCGCAUGGGAAGCGGCAGCCGCCCCCCAGCUCCCCACGCCUGCCCAGCUCUGGGCCCCAUGGAGCUGCUCCAGCGACACCUGCCCGGGCUGCACCGCGUCCUGCGGGGGGCACUGGAUUACGUCUCCAGCUUCUCCACCUACCUCUUCGGGGACCAGGCACACCCAGGCGCAGAGGAUCAUGGGAAAAGCGGGGAGACUGACUCCCCCAACCACCGCAAGGGGGUGUCAACAGGAGGAUAUGGGGAAAGAGACCCAGAGCAUUAUGGGGAGGAGGCGCUGAGGAGGCAGCAUGAGGACGCUGGAUACCCGGCCCUGCAGGUACGUUGGGGGCAGGUGCCUG
rnacentral:lncRNA from 1 species